UUAACUCAAAUUUGUAUGGAGUUGGAACGUUUGCCUAUGUUUGCCGCUAGGGGCGCUGUUCCAACUGCAUACAAAUUUGAGUUA
rnacentral:pre_miRNA from 1 species